rnacentral:rRNA from 1 species
AUUGAACGCUGGCGGCAGGCCUAACACAUGCAAGUCGAGCGGAGCGGCGGACGGGUGAGUAAUGCCUAGGAAUCUGCCUGUUCGUGGGGGAUCACGUCCGGAAACGGGCGCUCAUACAGCAUCCUAUCAGAUGAGCCUCGGGCGGAUUCGCUAGUUGGGGGGGUAAAGGCCUACAAAGGCGACGAUCCGUAACUGGUCUGAGAGGAUGAUCAGUCACACUGGAACUGCGACACGGUCCAGACUCCUACGGGAGGCAGCAGUGGGGAAUAUUGGACAAUGGGCGAAAGCCUGAUCCAGCCAUGCCGCGUGUGUGAAGAAGGUCUUCGGAUUGUAAAGCACUUUAAGUUGGGAGGCGUUACCAACAGAAUAAGCACCGGCUAACUUCGUGCCAGCAGCCGCGGUAAUUC